rnacentral:rRNA from 1 species
UACGGGGGGGGCAAGCGUUGUUCGGAAUUACUGGGCGUAAAGGGCUCGUAGGUGGCCAACUAAGUCAGACGUGAAAUCUCUCAGCUUAACUGGGGAACUGCGUCUGAUACUGGAUGGCUUGAGUUUGGGAGAGGGAUGCGGAAUUCCAGGUGUAGCGGUGAAAUGCGUAGAUAUCAGGAGGAACACCGGUGGCGAAGGCGGGUCUCUGGGCCGAUACUGACGCUGAGGAGCGAAAGCGUGGGGAGCGAACAGG